rnacentral:rRNA from 1 species
CAAUAGCGUAUAUUAAAGUUGUUGCGGUUAAAAGCUCGUAGUUGGAUUUCUGUCAAAGGGUGUUCCUCCGCCCCUUGUGGUGAGUAGUGGACAUACCGUUGGCAUCUUCUUGGGGAGUGUAUCUGCUCUUUAUUGAGUGGUGCACAAGCCAGGACUUUUACUUUGAGGAAAUGAGAGUGUUUCAAGCAGGCUUGCGCCGUGAAUACGUUAGCAUGGAAUAAUAGCAUCGGACCUCGCUCCAAAGCUGUUGGUUUCUUGGGGCGAGGUAAAGGUGAAUAGGGAUUGUUGGGGGCAUUCGUAUUUAACUGUCAGAGGUGAAAUUCUUGGAUUUGUUGAAGACGGACUACUGCGAAAGCAUCUGCCAAAGAUGUUCUCAUUGAUCAAGAACGAAAGUUAGGUGAUCGAAGACGAUUAGAUACCAU